CAGUGACAGUAGCAACCGCCGGAAUGAGAUGGGGUCUUGCUGUGUUGUCCAGGCUGGUCUCAAACUCCUGGCCUCAAGUGAUCCUCCAGCCUUGGCUUCCCAUAGUGCUGGGAUUGCAGGCAUGAGCCACCAUGUCCAGCUUGAAGAUAUAAUAUUGUAUCUAGGAUUUUCAAAUCCAUGUUGAAAACUGGGCCUUGAUUGGUUGAGUCAAGUGAGCUGAUUGGUUGAUUCAGGCGAAAGCAACAACAAUCAAAGAAGCCUUAGCGAGAUGGGAAGAGAAAACUGGCCAGAGGCCAUCUGAAGCCAAAGAGAUAAAACUUUAUGCCCAGAUUCCCCCUAUAGAGAAGAUGGAUGCAUCCUUGUCCAUGCUUGCUAAUUGCGAGAAGCUUUCACUGUCUACAAACUGCAUUGAAAAAAUUGCCAACCUGAAUGGCUUAAAAAACUUGAGGAUAUUAUCUUUAGGAAGAAACAACAUAAAGAACUUAAAUGGACUGGAGGCAGUAG
rnacentral:lncRNA from 1 species